rnacentral:hammerhead_ribozyme from 1 species
AUCCAACUGACGAGUCCCAACCAGGACGAAACACGCGUCCUGAAU